rnacentral:rRNA from 1 species
AUACGGAGGGGGCUAGCGUUGUUCGGAUUUACUGGGCGUAAAGCGCGCGUAGGCGGUAUAUCAAGUUAGGCGUGAAAGCCCCGGGCUCAACCCGGGAACUGCGCUUAUUACUGAUAAACUAGAGUUCGGGAGAGGGUGGCGGAAUUCCCAGUGUAGAGGUGAAAUUCGUAGAUAUUGGGAAGAACACCAGUUGCGAAGGCGGCCACCUGGACCGGUACUGACGCUGAGGUGCGAAAGCGUGGGGAGCAAACAGGAUUAGAAACCCCGGUAGUCC